UACGAAGGGGGCUAGCGUUGUUCGGAGUUACUGGGCGUAAAGGGCGCGUAGGCGGCGCACCAAGUCAGGCGUGAAAGCCCUGGGCUCAACCCGGGAAUUGCGCUUGAGACUGGUGUGCUUGAGUACGGGAGAGGAUAGUGGAAUUCCCAGUGUAGCGGUGAAAUGCGUAGAUAUUGGGAGGAACACCAGUGGCGAAGGCGGCUCACUGGACCGGAACUGACGCUGAGGCGCGAAAGCGUGGGGAGCAAACGGG
rnacentral:rRNA from 1 species